GAUCCUGUUAAGUGGUUAAAUCGGAUGAAAUCCGACGGCACCCCGUGUUAGCUCGGUUUAAGCAGCAGUGUCGCAUGUUAGACGACUUAACCUUGCUUAAUCAAGCUAAUCCGAGGUGGUUCCGCCACAGAUAUGCUGAAGUGGUUUGGGUAUCAGUCCCCGCCCUUGUAUGCCGGACGGUUAUAUAUGGAACAGGGCAUUUAGACGUGCCAAGUGCAAGCGUUG
rnacentral:lncRNA from 1 species